AGAACGAACGCUGGCGGCAUGCCUAAUACAUGCAAGUCGAACGAGAUCUUCGGAUCUAGUGGCGCACGGGUGCGUAACGCGUGGGAAUCUACCCUUGGGUUCGGAAUAACAGUUGGAAACGACUGCUAAUACCGGAUGAUGACGAAAGUCCAAAGAUUUAUCGCCCAGGGAUGAGCCCGCGUAGGAUUAGCUAGUUGGUGAGGUAAAGGCUCACCAAGGCUACGAUCCUUAGCUGGUCUGAGAGAUGAUCAGCCACACUGGGACUGAGACACGGCCCAGACUCCGUACGGGAGGCAGCAGUAGGAAUAGUUGGACAAGUGGGGCAACCCUGA
rnacentral:rRNA from 1 species